rnacentral:rRNA from 1 species
UACGAGGGGGGCAAGCGUUGUUCGGAAUUACUGGGCGUAAAGGGCUCGUAGGCGGCCAACUAAGUCAGACGUGAAAUCCCUCGGCUUAACCGGGGAACUGCGUCUGAUACUGGAUGGCUGGAGUUUGGGAGAGGGAUGCGGAAUUCCAGGUGUAGCGGUGAAAUGCGUAGAUAUCUGGAGGAACACCGGUGGCGAAGGCGGCAUCCUGGACCAAUACUGACGCUGAGGAGCGAAAGCCAGGGGAGCAAACGGG